rnacentral:rRNA from 1 species
GUAGGUGGCAAGCGUUGUCCGGAAUUAUUGGGCGUAAAGCGCGCGCAGGCGGUCCUUUAAGUCUGAUGUGAAAGCCCACGGCUCAACCGUGGAGGGUCAUUGGAAACUGGGGGACUUGAGUACAGAAGAGGAAAGCGGAAUUCCACGUGUAGCGGUGAAAUGCGUAGAGAUGUGGAGGAACACCAGUGGCGAAGGCGGCUUUCUGGUCUGUAACUGACGCUGAGGCGCGAAAGCGUGGGGAGCGAAACAGGGAUUAGAUACCCUGGUAGUCCACGCCGUAAACGAUGAGUGCUAAGUGUUAAGGGGGGGUUUCCCGCCCCGUUAGUGCUGCAGCUAACGCAUUAAGCACUCCGCCUGGGGGAUACGGCCGCAAGGCUG